ACUAUGUACAAAAACCGCUGUAAUUGGGGGACUAUGUACAAAAACUGCUGUAAUUGGGGGGACUAUGUACAAAAACCGCUGUAAUUGGGGGGACUAUGUACAAAAACUGCUGUAAUUGGGGGGACUAUGUACAAAAACCGCUGUAAUUGGGGGGACUAUGUACAAAAACCGCUGUAAUUGGGGGACUAUGUACAAAAACUGCUGUAAUUGGGGGGACUAUGUACAAAAAAAUGCUGUAAUUGGGGGGACUAUGUACAAAAACCGCUGUAAUUGGGGGGGACUAUGUACAAAAACUGCUGUAAUUGGGGGACUAUGUACAAAAACUGCUGUAAUUGGGGGGACUAUGUACAAAAACCGCUGUAAUUGGGGGGACUAUGUACAAAAACUGCUGUAAUUUCUAAACGGUUCACCCGAUAUGGAUGAAAAUACCCUCAAAUUAAAGUCUGUACUUUAACCUCAUAGUCAUUGCUUGAUUUAAAUCCAAGCUUUUGGAGUAUAGAGCCAAAAGAAGAAAACAUGCUUCACUGUCCAAAUUAUUACAGGGGGCACUGUUUGUAAUAAGAUCUCGGUUUCACCUUGUAGUGGAAAUUUCCUGUAUUACCAAAUCAUGAGAGCAAACCACACACAAAUCAGAGUUAUCAUAAAGUCCAUCUUUAAUUAUAUGAGCUCCAUCACAACCCUGUGACUCUCAGAUCAAUUCAGUGUCUAUAAAUGAAUUCUCUGAGAGUCCUUACACAUUACAACUGAGAUCCUUUAUAGCAAAGACACACAUAGCCAGACAGCAUUGGCUAUAAAUUAUCGUUCAGCUUUGUCUCCUAAACUAUGUUCUUAUCUCGCUCUUGGUACCACUCAGGACCAAAAACAAAACCUCAUCUACUAACAUAUAUCAAAUACACCCCCUCCUGGACAAGAUCACAGAGAGACAGUGACUGGCACGCAGACAUUGUGGAGCCACCUAUCUGGUUCCCCAUUUAUCACACCAUCCCUUCACAUGAUUAAGGAAUAGUAAACAGACACAUUCACAGAUAAGACUAACCUUUCCCCUCUCUGGGGCCCAAUGUAACUUAGCCAUAGCAGGAAAGGGAUAACUGCAAACUGCAAACAGUAUUAUCCAAAAGAAGACAUUCUAAUGACAAAUAUCUCACAUAAGCAUGCAAUAAAAUGAAUAAAACAUCUUAUUUAAAAAUGUUACCGAAAUAAUUCUGAUUCUGCCACGACAACCUCAAUCAUAAUAUUGCCAAUAUCGAUCAAACCAAAUGAACCACAGAAUAAAUGAGGAUGAUCUGAUUAAAUAAUGGAUUCACAACUCCAGUCCUCAAACAUCACAGUAUCUUUUAAAUAAAGUUUGAUUUGAUUUAAAUAAUGUCACCCAUUGUUCCCCAGACAAAGGCCCAUCCUCCAGACCUGCUCUGGGGCUCCUAAGAGGGGCUGAGACCCCUGGGUCUAAUGGGUCAGCUGGAUCGGAGCCUGUCUGGAUGUCCAUGGCCCAGGAAAAGACCAGGAGUCUCCAACAGCAUCUCAGUCCAGAGACAGAGGCUGGGACAGGGAGGACAGGGGGGACAACAACGCCCCAGUACACCACAUCACCAUGGCCAGCUCCAACCCCAGCCCCACAGCCGAGAUUACAACCAACAGCUCAGCCAUCAACACAACCUCCAUCACAAUCACAGCCAAGCACAAAAACAGCCUCGCAAAAACAAACAUCAGCCCCAGUGGUACAAUCAGCAUCUCAACCAAUACCAAGCAGUAGACCAAUCCUACAGGAAAUGCAUCUGACAGCUAAACUCAAAACAUUGCCUUCAGAUCAGCCUAACACACAAACAGCAUCACAACCGACACCACAAGGAACAGCUCAACAGCUGACACAACCGUCCUCCCAACCUCACAUGCCAACCAGACCAACUCUACGAGGAGCGUCUGAGAGAUCCUCCACGUCUCUGAAGAGAGCUGAGAAGAUGCCUGUGGAGAAAUGGACAGAAAGAGCGCUCCCGACUGGGACUAUGGAGGAAUCUAGCCAUGGUCAAAUUGAGAUUCACACCUCAAAGCCUGAGAUACCUUCUUCAUCGUCAUCAUCGUCAUACCGGGGUCAGCCAACCUGGAUGGAACUUGCCAAGAGGAAAUCUCUUGCCUGGAGUGACAUGGCUAUGGACUAAGAGAAAUGCACGUGUGUGUGUGUGUGUGUGUGUGAGGGAGGUAAAGGGGUUCCUAAAGAGAGUAAGGAGAAAACUGAAAUAAAAUAGCGAUUUGUUGCUGACUGUGUUAUUUGAACCUACUGGAUUCAGAGUUUAAAACCCAUUUCCCAUUACUGUGCCUUACUCUUCUAACCAUUAAAUAUAAAACAAACUACUUAUAUUUCACUUAUAUAUCACUUAUAUUUUACUGCAUAUAACAUCACUAAACCAAGAGGUCUGGACUUUUAAGGCACAAGAGGGCAUACUCUUGUCCUGUAACUUGUUGGUUGCUGGUUCAAACUCCGCUUCAGUUUUUUCACUGCUUUUGACAUAUCAAUCCAUGCUAGAUCCCUUCGAACAACUGUCUCAAAGUGUUGUCUGGAAUAAAUAUACUGUCAAUUGUA